UACAGAGGGUGCAAGCGUUGUUCGGAAUUAUUGGGCGUAAAGCGCGUGUAGGCGGCUUUGCAAGUCGGGUGUGAAAGCCCUCGGCUCAACCGAGGAAGUGCGCCCGAAACUGCAGAGCUUGAGUACCGGAGAGGAUGGCGGAAUUCCCCAAGUAGAGGUGAAAUUCGUAGAUAUCGGGAGGAACACCGGUGGCGAAGGCGGCGACCUGGGUCGAUACUGACGCUGAGGUGCGAAAGCGUGGGGAGCAAACAGG
rnacentral:rRNA from 1 species